UCACGUGUUCAUUUAAUAUAUGUUCGUGGUUCGUCCAUGAAUAGUAUUUUCCCAAAAUUCGCAUAUUUAUUCAUUAUAUUAAGUUGUAAAUUGAAAGAAUAUAUAUAAUCUAUAUGAUGCGUCUCUUUCGAUCAAUAAUUUGUUGCAUGAGGUGAAAUGUUUAUGGUGUAGGAAAGAAGCUCGGGUGAUGAAAAGGUGGUGCAAAAGGCGUCGGAAUCCAGAUAGCCCACAAAAUGAGUCUCCCGGCCGGGUGAAAUAUUUUACACCAGAGGAGUCCAGAAACUUCGCCCGGUCGGGCGUUUUGAAGUUGCGAAACGCCCGAUCGGGCGUUUUCAAUCUCAACUGCAAAUCAGCAGUUUUUCGGCCGGUUUUGUGGCAGAAGAAAAGAAUGGAGAGAGAGAGUGGAUGGGACGGUUUUUGAGAAAAGAGGAAGAGAGAGGAAUUGAUUAAAAAAGGGGAGGUGAUUAAAAAAGGAACGAAUCUGAGGGCAAUAUUAUUAUUCAACAAAAUUGAUAGGACUAAAGAAAAAAGGUGUCAGUGGUGUGACAGGAAGAAAAAAAGGGGAAUUGGAGAAGGAAGAAAGAAAAACAAAGGAGGAAGCCACGAUCCAAACUCCAUCCCGGAGGAGAUCAUUCAUCAUCUAGAGUUGGAGAACACCACGGAGUUCACGGUUCACGGUUCUUUUGGUGUAAUUCAUUUUAGUAUGUUUGGCUAGAUUUCCUUCGUUGCUCCGAAUAUGUUGUAGGGUGAAUUGCGGAUACUUUGAUGACUUUUAUGGUUCAAUUUAUGUGUGAUUCUUGUUUA